UACGGGGGGGGCAAGCGUUGUUCGGAAUUACUGGGCGUAAAGGGCUCGUAGGCGGCCAACUAAGUCAGACGUGAAAUCCCCAGGCUUAACCUGGGAACUGCGUCUGAUACUGGAUGGCUUGAAUUCGGGAGAGGGAUGCAGAAUUCCAGGUGUAGCGGUGAAAUGCGUAGAUAUCUGGAGGAAUACCGGUGGCGAAGGCGGCAUCCUGGACCGACAUUGACGCUGAGGAGCGAAAGCUAGGGGAGCAAACGGG
rnacentral:rRNA from 1 species